UACUCGAGUGGCGAACGGGUGAGUAACACGUGGGUGAUCUGCCCUGCACUUCGGGAUAAGCUUGGGAAACUGGGUCUAAUACCGGAUAGGAGCCAUCUUUAGUGUGGUGGUUGGAAAGUUUUUUCGGUGUAGGAUGAGUUCGCGGCCUAUCAGCUUGUUGGUGGGGUAAUGGCCUACCAAGGCGGCGACGGGUAGCCGGCCUGAGAGGGUGUACGGCCACAUUGGGACUGAGAUACGGCCCAG
rnacentral:rRNA from 1 species